rnacentral:rRNA from 1 species
GACAGAGGGGGCAAGCGUUGCUCGGAAUUACUGGGCGUAAAGGGCGCGUAGGCGGGAUGGCAAGUCGGUCGUGAAAUCCUUCGGCUCAACCGAAGAACGUCGAUCGAUACUGCUGUUCUUGAGGGUUGCAGAGGAGACUGGAAUUCCCGGUGUAGCGGUGAAAUGCGUAGAUAUCGAGAGGAACACCUGCGGCGAAGGCGGGUUGCUGGGCUGACACUGACGCUGAGGCGCGAAAGCCAGGGGAGCAAACGGG